CCUACGGGAGGCAGCAGUGGGGAAUAUUGGACAAUGGGGGCAACCCUGAUCCAGCCAUGCCGCGUGUGUGAAGAAGGCCUUUUGGUUGUAAAGCACUUUAAGCAGGGAGGAGAGGCUAAUGGUUAAUACCCAUUAGAUUAGACGUUACCUGCAGAAUAAGCACCGGCUAACUCUGUGCCAGCAGCCGCGGUAAUACAGAGGGUGCGAGCGUUAAUCGGAAUUACUGGGCGUAAAGCGAGUGUAGGUGGCUCAUUAAGUCACAUGUGAAAUCCCCGGGCUUAACCUGGGAACUGCAUGUGAUACUGGUGGUGCUAGAAUAUGUGAGAGGGAAGUAGAAUUCCAGGUGUAGCGGUGAAAUGCGUAGAGAUCUGGAGGAAUACCGAUGGCGAAGGCAGCUUCCUGGCAUAAUAUUGACACUGAGAUUCGAAAGCGUGGGUAANACAACAGAGUAGUAUACCUACGUAGUCGACGACCGUAACGAUGUCUACUACGUCGUCGGGUUCGUUCGUAGUACGUUAGUUGGUCGCGAGUUAACGUACGAGUAAGUAAGGUACCGUCCGUUCGGGUUAGGUACGGUUCCGGCCGAACGGUUAAACGUUACGAAGGAAGUUAGUUACGGCGUUGAGACGUUGCGACGGACGACGACGACGGGAGGAGGAG
rnacentral:rRNA from 1 species